rnacentral:lncRNA from 1 species
UUUCUUUUGAGACAGGGUCUCAAAAAUAUAUGACGUAUGGCCAGGUGCUGUGGAUUGCGCUUGUAAUCCCAGCAGUUUGCGAGGCCGAGGCGGGUGGAUCACCUGAGGUCAGGAGGACGAGACCAGACUGGCCAACAUGGUGAAACCAUGUCUCUACUAAAAAUAUAAAAAAUUAGCUGAGCGUGGUGGCGCACACCUGUAGUCUCAGCUACUCUGGAGGGUGAGGCAGGAGAAUAUCACUUGGAGGUUGUAUGUGUGUGUGUGUGUGUGUGUGUGUGUGUGUGUGUGUGUGUUUUCUAAUUCUUUCGAGACACAGCCUGGCUAUAUUGCCAAGGCUGGAGUGUAGUGGUGCGAUCUCGGCUCACUGAAACCUCCACCUACCAACGCAGCCUCCUGGAUUAGUGUCUACAGGCAUGCACCACCACACCAGGCUAACUUUUGCAUUUUUUGUACAGACGAAGUUUCACCAUGUAGCCCAGGCUUGUCUUGAACUCUUGAGCUCAAAUGAUCCUACCACUUUGGCAUCCUGAAGUGCUGGGAUUAGAGAUGUGAGCCACUGCACCCAAUCGGUACUUGCGUAUUUUUUUAAUCGAGGAGCUUUUACAGCAUCGCCUGUGGUCUGUCCUGGAAGAGGUUUGUGUGUAUAACAAUGUAUAUUCUUCCACAUCUUAGAUUCCAUUUUGGGUGCCCCCGUGGGAACUAUGUGUGCCUGUGCUGGAACUCAAGUGUCACUUGGCUGAAAAUCCAUUGCUGUUCUCUAGAAAUCCUGCCCAAUUCUCUUGGUUAAAGAUAAGACUCUCUGCAGGAAGGGUGUAGUCGAUUCAACCCUCACCCACUAAUGCCAACCCCAGUGAGUUCUUGGACUGCAGCUGCCAUGUUCAUCCUGUUCUCUUUGGGUGACGAUUCCGAGGUACCAUCCAAUGGGCUAAACCUUGCAUCUAAAUGCCAGUUACUUGAUUCUACUUUGGAUGCUGCCAUCGGGACUGUGUGUCCCUGUGCUGGAACUCAAGUGACACUUGGCUGAAAAUCCAUUGAUCUCUAAAAAUCCAGCCCAAUUGUCUUGGCUAAAUACAAGGUACGUAUAGUAGGCAUUGCUUUUUCUCUUUGGGGACAAAACUCAGGAGGAUUGCCCCCUUGAACAAGGCUAACCUGCUGAACCUUUGAAGCAAGGAACUGGAGACGGUCCUUAUAGAGGUUUAUAUUCUGGGUUCCAGAAAACAUGCAAACAGGGUCAAUAAAUGCAUCUUUUAUUUUUGUGUUUGUUUUAACCUGGUCAAAGAAAAUUCCAAGAAAAAAUCCAC